rnacentral:tRNA from 1 species
AAAGGGAGACCUAAUUCGGGUAUAAGACGAAAAAAUAGUAGUCGAAACCAAGAAUCAAUCCCAAAAGGUCGGAACGAGGUAUGUGGCUUUCAAACUAGGUUCUGGGUUCAUAAAAGACCUGAAUCAGGAACAAGGGCUAUUAGCUCAGGUGGUUAGAGCGCACCCCUGAUAAGGGUGAGGUCCCUGGUUCGAGUCCAGGAUGGCCCACCUGCACAGGUGGCAAAAACAAAGAAAAGAAGCUCCGAAUCAGCACCUUAUCUUACUCAUAUAGUAAGAGAGAAUGCUGGCUCUGAGUUCAGAGUCCAGAGGAACCUUGAAAACUGCAUAGAGCUAGGUGAAAAAGCCAAAAAAGAAGACCGCAAG